UACGUAGGGGGCUAGCGUUGUCCGGAUUUAUUGGGCGUAAAGAGCGUGUAGGCGGCCAGGUAGGUCCGUUGUGAAAACUCGAGGCUCAACCUCGAGACGUCGGCGGAAACCAUCUGGCUAGAGUCCGGAAGAGGAGAGUGGAAUUCCUGGUGUAGCGGUGAAAUGCGCAGAUAUCGGGAGGAACACCGGUGGCGAAGGCGGUUCUCUGGGCCUGACCUGACGCUGAGGAGCGAAAGCGUGGGGAGCGAACAGG
rnacentral:rRNA from 1 species